UAGGGAAUAUUGCGCAAUGGGCGAAAGCCUGACGCAGCGACGCCGCGUGAGGGAUGAAGGUCUUCGGAUCGUAAACCUCUGUCAGCAGGGAAGAACGGUCACUGUGCUAAUCAGCAGUGAAUUGACGGUACCUGCAAAGGAAGCACCGGCUAACUCCGUGCC
rnacentral:rRNA from 1 species